CGGCUCUUCGGUUCGCGCAGCGCUGACCAUUCGGACCUUUGGGGCAGAACGCAAGACAGUCAACUCGCUGCUCCUCGGACCUGACUGCGUUCUGAGGUCAAGAAAGGAAAACAGGAAACAUUGGAAAAAUAAACGGAGUCUUUCCUGUGAAGGCCAGGAUGGAGUAAUAAGGACUAAAUAUGUACUCUCACCUGGAAAAAACAAAAACUGGGAAAACGUACAUAAAAAAAUAAAAACAUCUUUUAAGACACUGGAUGUUGGACUACGUAAGACAGUCAUCUCCGAGAGGUGGGAAACAAACAAGAUGAGACCUAGCAACUGCCCCAGCUUACUGCCUUAAAAAAAUUUCCAGGACAUAAUGCAGGGAGGGAGAGAUGUUGAUAAUGGUCAUGCUUUUGUGGGGGUACACAUCGGAGAAAAUGUAUCAAACUGUACGUUUUAUUGCAGUUUACUGUGUGUCGGUUUUUGUUUUGUUUUUUAAGAUUUUAUUUAUUUGAGAAAGAGAGAGAACACAGGGAUGGGCAGAAGAAGAGGGAG